UCCUCCCAAUCUGGAAAAUCCAUGUAAAAUGUUUUGACACUCCCCUCGUACUAGAGAUGAAGUCUGAAUUUUUUCUUUUUCAUUUAUGGGAUGUUUACAAUACCUUGUUGCAAAAUUUGGGUUGAUAUUAUACAAUACUAUACUUAUAGUUUAUGCAUUUCUGAGUUUCUAAACUUUUUCUGUGUUGCCUGUGGCUUCCCCAAAACUCCUCCCAAAUUCUCAUUUAAUUUCUUAUGCUGACCCUUGAUAUAUUGAAACAGUGAUGGGGAAAGUUGCGAUGUGGAAGGGUGAGAACAUGUUUGAUGCACAAUUGAAGCUUGGGAAAGAAAACAACAAUGAGCAGGUAUAAAAGUCUGUUGAUGACAACGAGCUAAGGAAUAAAGUUAUUUUGGAAGGACCAAAGAGCUGCUCUGAUGCCUCCUCAUGGCUGCAUUUGUGAAGCCUCUGCCAACAGAACGUAAUCUGCAAAGAUUCCGAGUACAGCUGGGUAACAGACUGUGGUCAGCUGUCUAAGGACCAAUCCUGCUACACAUUGAGAGAGGCUUAUCACCAUAAGGCAAUGCAUUUUUGGCUCUUUGUGAUCCAUGAAACAGAUAAAACCAGAAAUUGGA